rnacentral:lncRNA from 1 species
UCUCAAUAUGGCUACUGGCUGUAAAAGAUAAAUCUUAUUCUAUCUGUUCUUCAUGAGUUUUAGAUAAUUUUAGUUGUAUUUCUUUGUAAUUUUGUGUUGUACAAAGAUUAAUUUAACAUUUUCUCUGGAAGUAUUAAUUUAGAAAGAUAAUAUGCUUCAUUGGUGUUGUGUUUUGAAUUAUGAAAUGCAAAGUAAUUGUGAUAAAGUCAAGGUAAAGUUCACUUUUAAACUGAACUAAAUAAGGUAUCUGAGAGACAACAAUGGUUAAAUGCAAUACAAUGUACAGGUUUUACUAGCGAAAUGAAAAUUUUCCUGUCCUGUCUGCUGUAAUCAUUUUAUAUCUGGAAAACCAGCCGACUUAAUCGAUAAUAACAAUCUCCAGAUUGGGUUCCUUCAAUAAAUAUGGGCUAUAAACACAAUGAAAUAAGUUCCCCAAAAUCUAAAAUGGAGUGGCAUCAAAGGAGAAUUAAAGGAAAAAAUAUUCGUAUUGAAAUUAUUUAUAAGGCACUGGACUGUCUUAAAUUCUACAAUAAUACUAGAAUCAGCUGAGAGAAGUGGUCUACAAAAAACCAGGAAGGAAACGGAAUAUGUGGCUACGAAAGGCAAAAGAAAGGUUUACAAAGCAAAUGUGACACAUUUUUUUGAAAUAUUUAGGAAUAUCAGUAAAUUGCAUUAAAAAAAUGUAUGAAAAGAUUUUGUUCAAUAAAAAUGUUUAUAUUUA